ACGGAAGGCAGCAGUGAGGAAUAUUGCACAAUGGGGGAAACCCUGAUGCAGCAACUCCACGUGUGGGAAGAAGCAUUUCGGUGUGUAAACCACUGCCGUGAGGGAAUAAUGCUUGGUCUCGGCCAAGUUGAAUGAACCUCGAAAGGAAGCACCGGCAAACUUCGUGCCAGCAGCCGCGGUAAUACGAGGGGUGCAGGCGUUGUUCGGAAUCACUGGGCGUAAAGGGAGCGCAGGCGGAGAUGCAAGCAGUCUGUACAAUACCGGGGCCCAACCCCGGACCUGCAGACUGGACUGUCUCUCUUGGAUAGUUCAGGGGCAAGCGGAAUUCCUGGUGUAGCGGUGGAAUGCGUAGAGAUCAGGAAGAACACCGAUGGCGAAGGCAGCUUGCUGGGGACUUAUCGACGCUCAUGCUCGAAAGUGCGGGUAGCAAACAGGAUUAGAUACCCUGGUA
rnacentral:rRNA from 1 species